AACGAACGCUGGCGGCAUGCCUAACACAUGCAAGUCGAACGAGACCUUCGGGUCUAGUGGCGCACGGGUGCGUAACGCGUGGGAACCUGCCCUUAGGUUCGGAAUAACUCCCCGAAAGGGGUGCUAAUACCGGAUAAUGUCUUCGGACCAAAGAUUUAUCGCCUUUGGAUGGGCCCGCGUUGGAUUAGCUAGUUGGUAGGGUAAAAGCCUACCAAGGCGACGAUCCAUAGCUGGUCUGAGAGGAUGAUCAGCCACACUGGGACUGAGGCACGGCCCAGACUCCUACGGGAGGCAGCAGUGGGGAAUAUUGGACAAUGGGCGAAAGCCUGAUCCAGCAAUGCCGCGUGAGUGAUGAGGGCCUUAGGGUUGUAAAGCUCUUUUACCCGGGAUGAUAAUGACAGUACCGGGAGAAUAAGCUCCGGCUAACUCCGUG
rnacentral:rRNA from 1 species